rnacentral:lncRNA from 1 species
UUAUUUUGAGUUAUUAUAAAUAACUUUAACAUUUUGGCAAUGGUUUGAUUAAUUGUUUAAUAUUUAAAUCAUUUAAUAAUGAUUCCGAUGUUUGAAAAUUCAUGAUAAAUUAUAAUAAAAGUUUUAAAAUUAUUAGUCAUUUAAAAAUAAUAUGACUGAUAUUUAAAGUUAUGGAAUUACUGGAUAGAGUCUUAGACUCGAUAAUUACCCGAUAAAGCAGUCGGUAGACCGACAUGUUUCAGAAAUUGAUCUGGACUUAGAUAGUUUGAUUAGAUAUGUUGUGACGCCCCCAAAAUAGGUCCAUUCCAUCCAACCUAUUUUGAGUCGCCAAAUACAUGGUACGGAAAAUAAUUACAACUUUAUAACAAUAAUUGUCGUGCAAAAUACAACAACACAUAUGUUGUGAGUUUUGAUACAAAUAUAUACCAACUGUGACUCUCAUCUCAACCUUGGAUAGUACGUCACAAUGGUACCUUAUGUGGCGACCCCAAAUCCGGAUACUUGAAACCCGAACUCGGUUCUCCACGAUACCAUUUCUUUAAGCUGAAUAAUACUAAAUAAUAAUACAUUCGAACGUAAUUUACAUACAUCAAAGUUUACUUCCCCAGGUACGUGACCUUCAAAUACAUUCCUUACAAUACCUGACAAUAGAUUCCAUUGUCUUACUAACUAUAACCAUUAACUCAUAAUAUAAACUCAUUCGAACAGCUUUCCUUUCCCCUUGUUCGUGCCUGAGCCUUCANNN